rnacentral:rRNA from 1 species
UUAAGUUAAUAAGGGCGCACGGUGGAUGCCUUGGCACUAGAAGCCGAUGAAGGACGUGACUAACGACGAAAUGCUUUGGGGAGCUGUAAGUGAGCAAUGAUCCAGAGAUGUCCGAAUGGGGGAACCCGGCAGGUAAUGCCUGUCACUCAUUACUGUUAAGGUAAUGUAGAGGAAGACGCAGUGAACUGAAACAUCUAAGUAGCUGCAGGAAGAGAAAGCAAAAGCGAUUGCCUUAGUAGCGGCGAGCGAAACGGCAAGAGGGCAAACCGAAGAGUUUACUCUUCGGGGUUGUAGGACUGCAACGUGGACUUAAAGAUUAUAGAAGAACUACCUGGGAAGGUAGGCCAAAGAGAGUAAUAGCCUCGUAUUCGAAAUAGUCUUUAUACCUAGCAGUAUCCUGAGUACGGCGAGACACGAGAAAUCUCGUCGGAAUCUGGGAGGACCAUCUCCCAACCCUAAAUACUCUCUAGUGACCGAUAGUGAACCAGUACCGUGAGGGAAAGGUGAAAAGCACCCCGGGAGGGGAGUGAAAUAGAACCUGAAACCGUGUGCCUACAACAAGUUCGAGCCCGUUAAUGGGUGAGAGCGUGCCUUUUGUAGAAUGAACCGGCGAGUUACGAUAUGAUGCGAGGUUAAGUUGAAGAGACGGAGCCGUAGGGAAACCGAGUCUUAAUAGGGCGCAUUAGUAUCAUGUCGUAGACCCGAAACCAUGUGACCUACCCAUGAGCAGGUUGAAGGUGAGGUAAAACUCACUGGAGGACCGAACCAGGGCACGUUGAAAAGUGCUUGGAUGACUUGUGGGUAGCGGAGAAAUUCCAAACGAACUUGGAGAUAGCUGGUUCUCUCCGAAAUAGCUUUAGGGCUAGCGUCGAUGUUAAGUCUCUUGGAGGUAGAGCACUGUUUGGGUGAGGGGUCCAUCCCGGAUUACCAAUCUCAGAUAAACUCCGAAUGCCAACGAGAUAUAAUCGGCAGUCAGACUGCGAGUGCUAAGAUCCGUAGUCGAAAGGGAAACAGCCCAGACCACCAGCUAAGGUCCCAAAAUAUAUGUUAAGUGGAAAAGGAUGUGGGGUUGCACAGACAACUAGGAUGUUAGCUUAGAAGCAGCUAUUCAUUCAAAGAGUGCGUAAUAGCUCACUAGUCGAGUGACCCUGCGCCGAAAAUGUACCGGGGCUAAAACAUAUUACCGAAGCUGUGGAUACCUUUAUAGGUAUGGUAGGAGAGCGUUCUAUGUGCGAAGAAGGUGUACCGUGAGGAGUGCUGGAGCGCAUAGAAGUGAGAAUGCCGGUAUGAGUAGCGAAAGACAGGUGAGAAUCCUGUCCACCGUAAGACUAAGGUUUCCAGGGGAAGGCUCGUCCGCCCUGGGUUAGUCGGGACCUAAGGAGAGACCGAAAGGUGUAUCCGAUGGACAACAGGUUGAUAUUCCUGUACUAGAGUAUAUAGUGAUGGAGGGACGCAGUAGGCUAACUAAACCAGACGAUUGGAAGUGUCUGGCCAAGCAGUGAGGUGUGAUAUGAGUCAAAUGCUUAUAUCUAUAACAUUGAGCUGUGAUGGGGAGCGAAGUUUAGUAGCGAAGUUAGUGAUGUCACACUGCCGAGAAAAGCUUCUAGCGUUAAUUAUACUCUACCCGUACCGCAAACCGACACAGGUAGUCGAGGCGAGUAGCCUCAGGUGAGCGAGAGAACUCUCGUUAAGGAACUCGGCAAAAUGGCCCCGUAACUUCGGGAGAAGGGGCGCUGACUUAUGGUCAGCCGCAGUGAAUAGGCCCAAGCAACUGUUUAUCAAAAACACAGCUCUCUGCUAAAUCGUAAGAUGAUGUAUAGGGGGUGACGCCUGCCCGGUGCUGGAAGGUUAAGAGGAGUGCUUAGCGUAAGCGAAGGUAUGAAUUGAAGCCCCAGUAAACGGCGGCCGUAACUAUAACGGUCCUAAGGUAGCGAAAUUCCUUGUCGGGUAAGUUCC